rnacentral:rRNA from 1 species
CAACGGCCGCGGUAUCAUGACCGUGCAAAGGUAGCGUAAUCACUUGUCUUUUAAAUAAAGACCUGUAUGAAAGGCAAAACGAAAGUUCAACUGUCUCUUUAAUCCAAUCAAUGAAAUUUAUCUUUUCGUGCAGAAGCGGAAAUAAAUAUAUAAGACGAGAAGACCCUAUGGAGCUUUAAACACACUAUUAACUACUAUAAUAACUUCAACCGACAGGAAAAAAUCAUAAACAUAUAGCUAUAAUACAAGUUUUGGGUUGGGGCGACCGCGGAGAAAAAAAAAUCCUCCGAGAUAAACAAUUUAGAAUAACACUUCGAAAAUUAAAACAUUUAUUAUAAAUGAUCCACUAAGUGAUCAACGAACCAAGUUACCCUAGGGAUAACAGCGCAAUCCUUUCUAAGAGUCCAUAUCGACGAAUGGGUUUACGACCUCGAUGUUGGAUCAGGACACCCAAAUGGUGCAGCCGCUAUUAAAGGUUCGUUUGUUCAACGAUUAAAGUCCUAC